UUUUUUUCCUUCCCAUCGCCGGCUGGCGCUGGGGCCCGAGUAGGGCCGGCUAGCUGCAUCGCCUGCGUUUCUCCCGGGUAGACGCCACCGCAGUCACUGAUGCCCCUUUUCAAAGGAUGCACGCUCCCCACCGGGCGCCGGAGGUGUUUUGCAGCCGCUCUGCCAGAGGCGCGGGUAGGGGGCAGCCUACCCCCAUCCCCAGAUUCCGCUGGGCACUGGCUGGGAAUCAGCCUCGCUGCCGGGCCCAGUUCUUCUCGGGCCGCGGCGUCUCUCGGGCUCAGCUUCGUGCGGGAUGGGUCCGGGGCGCAGCUGUGGGAGAUCUAUUUAUUCUGCUGCUGGGGAAGGAAGACGGAGAAGAGGAGGGAACGUGCUUUCCUACAGUACAGUAAAUUUCUAUCUCCAGCAUCACAGGCAUUGUAGGUACAACAGAGAGCGAGAGAAAACUAGCCCUUGUCCUCAUGGAACUUACGUUCUAG